UACGUAGGGUGCGAGCGUUAAUCGGAAUAACUGGGCGUAAAGGGUGCGUAGGCGGAAGUAUAAGUUAGAUGUGGAAAGCCUGGGCUUAACCUGGGUCUUGCAUUUAAGACUGUAUUUCUAGAGUUAGUAAGAGGGGGGUAGAAUUCCAGGUGUAGCAGUGAGAUGCGUAGAGAUCUGGAGGAAUACCGAAGGCGAAGGCAGCCCCCUGGUAUAUGACUGACGCUGAGGCACGAAAGCGUGGGAAGCAAACAGG
rnacentral:rRNA from 1 species